rnacentral:rRNA from 1 species
UACGUAGGGUGCGAGCGUUAAUCGGAAUUACUGGGCGUAAAGGGCGCGUAGGCGGCCUGCUAAGUCGAACGUGAAAUCCCCGGGCUUAACCCGGGAACUGCGUCCGAUACUGGUUGGCUUGAAUUCGGGAGAGGGAUGCGGAAUUCCAGGUGUAGCGGUGAAAUGCGUAGAUAUCUGGAGGAACACCGGUGGCGAAGGCGGCAUCCUGGACCGGCAUUGACGCUGAGGCGCGAAAGCCAGGGGAGCAAACGGG